UAGGGAAUCUUCGGCAAUGGACGGAAGUCUGACCGAGCAACGCCGCGUGAGUGAAGAAGGUUUUCGGAUCGUAAAGCUCUGUUGUAAGAGAAGAACGAGUGUAAGAGUGGAAAGUUCACACUGUGACGGUAUCUUACCAGAAAGGGACGGCUAACUACGUGCCAGCAGCCGCGGUAAUACGUAGGUCCCGAGCGUUGUCCGGAUUUAUUGGGCGUAAAGCGAGCGCAGGCGGUUAGAUAAGUCUGAAGUUAAAGGCUGUGGCUUAACCAUAGUAGGCUUUGGAAACUGUUUAACUUGAGUGCAAGAGGGGAGAGUGGAAUUCCAUGUGUAGCGGUGAAAUGCGUAGAUAUAUGGAGGAACACCGGUGGCGAAAGCGGCUCUCUGGCUUGUAACUGACGCUGAGGCUCGAAAGCGUGGGGAGCAAACAGGAUUAGAUACCCUGGUAGUCCACGCUGUAAACGAUGAGUGCUAGGUGUUAGACCCUUUCCGGGGUUUAGUGCCGUAGCUAACGCAUUAAGCACUCCGCCUGGGGAGUACGACCGCAAGGUUG
rnacentral:rRNA from 1 species